rnacentral:lncRNA from 1 species
CUCUGACUCUCGGGAGGGAGAGGAAGCAGCCGGGGAAAGCAAGUCUAAAGUCAACGGUGGAUUCCAGAGAGAUGGGGACUUGGCCUGACGGUGAGAAAGAAAAAGCCUAGAUAAUGUUUAGAGCAUUUGAGUGUGAAGGCUCAGCUCCACUUUCCAAGAUGGAGCUCAGGGAGAUGAAAAAUCCUUAGUGUAGAAAUGGAUGCACCAAGCCCUCCGCCCCCCAUCACAGCUGAUUUCCAGUGAGGAAGGCUCUCCCGCAUGGGAUGGGGCAGGGUUAGCAAGAGAGAGCUGGACCUGAAGGAGUCAUGUGUCCUGGGACAAUUAGGGACCAGCAGUGGAUGAAACAAGAGCCCUGAUGUCACCAGCCCCAAGAAGCCCCAACUCUCAGUACCCUGGGUGCAAAUAAGCUCCUCCUGCUUGGAAUUUAGAGAAAG